rnacentral:ncRNA from 1 species
UCUUCGGGCUUAGUAUCCUGACCGACCAUCAAACGAUCGAACUGGAACUGGUACGGACUCGGGGAAUCCGACUGUCUAAUUAAAACAGAGGAGACAGAUGGUCCUUGCGGACGUUUACUGUCUCUGAUUUCUGCCCAGUGCUCCGAAUGUUAAAUCGUAGUAAUUCGAGUAAGCGCGGGUAAACGCCGGGAGUAACUAUGACUCUCUUAAGGUAGCCAAAUGCCUCGUCAGCUAACUACUGACGCGCUUGUCCUCGCAACUGCUAUCGCCAAGUGGUGAGGA